CCUACGGGAGGCAGCAGUAGGGAAUCUUCCACAAUGGGCGCAAGCCUGAUGGAGCAACACCGCGUGAGUGAAGAAGGGUUUCGGCUCGUAAAGCUCUGUUGUUGGAGAAGAACGUGCGGGAGAGUAACUGUUCACGCAGGGACGGUAUCAAACCAGAAAGUCACGGCUAACUACGUGCCAGCAGCCGCGGUAAUACGUAGGUGGCAAGCGUUAUCCGGCUUUAGUGGGCGGAAAGCGAGCGCAGGCGGUCGCUUAGGUCUGAGGUGAAAGCCUUCGGCUUAACCGAAGAAGUGCAUCGGAAACCGGGCGACUUGAGUGCAGCAGAGGCCAGUGGACCUCCCUUUGUAGCGGUGGAAUGCGUAGCUAUAUG
rnacentral:rRNA from 1 species